AUAAAUAUCAAACUUAGUAAGCAUGCAAAUGUGCAGCUCCUGGAGAAAUGACUUCAAGCGUUGUGCUGGAUUGUUAAGUGGUUAUUUGAAUCAGCAGGAGUCAUAUAGUCCAUAGAGCUGAAUGAAGUUAUUGUCAGAGAAUGGGCACCCGUUGUGUGAGUGUGGGCAUUGGCACUUCAAAACUAAGCACUUGAACUGCUUGCC
rnacentral:lncRNA from 1 species